UACGAAGGGUGCAAGCGUUACUCGGAAUUACUGGGCGUAAAGCGUGCGUAGGUGGUUUGUUAAGUCUGAUGUGAAAGCCCUGGGCUCAACCUGGGAACGGCAUUGGAAACUGACUUACUAGAGUGCGGUAGAGGGGUGUGGAAUUCCCGGUGUAGCAGUGAAAUGCGUAGAUAUCGGGAGGAACAUCUGUGGCGAAGGCGACACCCUGGACCAGCACUGACACUGAGGCACGAAAGCGUGGGGAGCAAACAGG
rnacentral:rRNA from 1 species